rnacentral:rRNA from 1 species
AUGGGUCAGAGCCCCUUGAUCCGGCUGCCGGAGGAGGAGCAAGUUCAGCUACUUGUAACGACCCAUGGCAGCAAUAGGAAGGAACAGCUUGGCAAGUCUACAAAAGCUACAAACAAAUACUACAAAAACUCAAGCAAGGACGAUCUAGUUUUGAGGGCGACACUAGACUCAAUCACUAGAAUGGGAUGA